GCUGGCAAAGCUUUGAAGAUAAGCGAAAAGGGCAGUGGACUGUACCCACAGGGGCGCUGUCAGAAGAGCAGAGAACUUCAGCACUGGCGGUCGGAGAGCUCCCAGCUUUCAAAGUGAUCUGCGGUGAAGCCAGAUUCUUCAGCAAGAACCCUAUAAGGCAGCCCACAGCUGAAACGAGUAAAGCGCUUCAGAACCGGGUUUCCGGACAGUUCUCAGUCCUUUAAGACUGCCCGAGCCCAGCUCUUUAGCCACCCACUGGGUUGCAGGAGAGAGUUAGCUGACCUUCGGUCAACAGAAGCAAGGGAGACCACAAUGCCCACCAGACCAUGCACCACAAAAACCAUGGGACAAGGACCAAUGCUAAAGAUCACACCAAGUGAGACGUGAGCAAUGCCUGCAUCCAGGAAUGGACAUGAUGACUGAAUUAAGAUCCCAUUUAGAUAAAUCACAAUUUCAAAAUAGAACCUUCUACAUCUCUUUUCAUCAUUGACUGGCUUUGCGACCCUGAAAGGAAGAAUGAAGAGACAGAGAGGAGAAUGUCAAUGCCACAGAAUCACAGAUCCAGAAGGUACCUCAGAGACCACUCGGUCCAACUCAUAAAUGAACAAGAAUUCCCUCUACAAUAUGCCCAUCAAGUGGUUAUCCAGUCUCUGCUUAAAGACUUCCAUUCAGGGGGAACCCCCUUCCUUGAAAGGCAGCCCAUUCCAUAUUGAUCCCAUACCCUCCCAUCUUCUCCAACAGAUUGGAUUCUUUUUCUAUCUUUAAUAUUCAAAAUCUCUCUACUGGUAGCUACUAUUACCAGAC